GAGUUUGAUUCUGGCUCAGAUUGAACGCUGGCGGCAUGCUUUACACAUGCAAGUCGAACGGCAUCGGGGAAGUGCUUGCACUUCUGCCGGCGAGUGGCGAACGGGUGAGUAAUGCAUUGGAACGUACCGGGUAAUGGGGGAUAACUUGCCGAAAGGUAAGCUAAUACCGCAUACGCUUUAAGAAGGAAAGCGGGGGAUCAUUUGACCUCGCGUUAUCCGAGCGGCCAAUGUCUGAUUAGCUAGUUGGUGGGGUAAAAGCCUACCAAGGCAACGAUCAGUAGCGGGUCUGAGAGGAUGAUCCGCCACACUGGGACUGAGACACGGCCCAGACUCCUACGGGAGGCAGCAGUGGGGAAUUUUGGACAAUGGGCGCAAGCCUGAUCCAGCCAUGCCGCGUGUCUGAAGAAGGCCUUCGGGUUGUAAAGGACUUUUGUACGGGAAGAAAAAGUUGUGGCUAAUACCCAUGAC
rnacentral:rRNA from 1 species